rnacentral:rRNA from 1 species
UACGGAGGGUGCAAGCGUUAUCCGGAUUUACUGGGCUUAAAGGGUGCGUAGGUGGGUUGGCAAGUCAGUGGUGAAAUACUUUCGCUUAACGAAGGAACUGCCAUUGAUACUACCAGUCUUGAAUACAGUGGAGGUAGGCGGAAUGCGUCAUGUAGCGGUGAAAUGCUUAGAUAUGACGCAGAACACCAAUUGCGAAGGCAGCUGGCUACACUGUUAUUGACACUGAGGCACGAAAGCGUGGGGAUCAAACAGG